GUCCCUCAGAGGCAGAGCCCCUGCAGAAGGUGCUGCCAUUAAUGAACAGCACUUGCCAGACACCAGGAGGAAAUCCACUGAGGCCACAGCCCAGGCCCUGCAGCAAUCAGGCCAAUCAUCUAUGCUGUCCUAGUGGUGGCUACCAUGGCUGUGGCUCCCACAGUGUCCCAGGCCUGUGCUGGGCAGUACCCACGGAAGAGAAGCCCAGCACAGAGAGGACCCGAAAUUCUCCCAACAUUCACAGGAAGGGAAGAGCCCUUGCCCCCACCAACCACACUAGGGCUCAGCGGAGAUAACAUCUGACCCAGGCCGUCUGCUCCGUGCACCCAGCAAGAGUGCUAGCAUGUGACACACGGCAGCGAGCUCCUGCGUGGGCGAGGGGAUGAUGGAUGGAUGGACUGGC